UGUUGGCGUUUAAAUGCAACUACAUACUUGUUUGGUUCGCAUUUCGUUCGUGAUCAUAUGAUGAGGGUAAAAUCUGCCAAAACGAGAGAAUCUCUGUUACGUAAAAUCCGCAUAGACCUUCGGCUUUCUUCGUACACAAAAGCAGAAUUUGUUUAUUGUAAGAUUCCGUUUUGUCAAAACAAACGCGUGAAUGGGGGACUGAAUUCGCUGCUGAACAUUUAAUACACAUAUGUACAAAAAAGUAAAUAAAUACAUGCAAAUGUGGCAAACAACAAGUUGACGUCAACCCUUUAUUGACGAGUCGCCUCAUCAUCAUCAUCAGCAUCAUCAGGUGGAUUAAAAAGAUCAUCUCACCAAUCGCCGGUUGUAUUCAAAUUGAUAAUCAAACAGACGAAGAAAGUUGACCUCAGAUUUCAAGAAGAUGGACAACACCGAGGGCGAAAUUGACAAUAUCUGGAACUAUUUGUUAAUUACUUCCAGCUCCGUCGUCAUAGCGAUGGUGUCUGUUCUCAUAUUCGUUGCACUUGGAUGGAUGAUUGUAUGGUGGUGUUUUCUAUCCCGUUUUAAAUUUGUUCGUGAACUCCUUGGAGGAGACCAAGUAGCGAAGAAUACGACUGACCAGCCAACCAGACGCAACCAACGAAGAAGACUGCAAGAUUAAUAGCGAUAUUAGAAUUUUAGGUUAUAAGUAAUGACAAUGUUUGUUAAAUCGUCUUAUUUUAUUGAAAAAGCGCCGAUCGAUAUUGUUCGAGAUUUAUUAUUACAGAUUAGCAGCACCGUACAGAAUUGUAAUCACAACAUAUUAAUGUUUACUAAUAAGAGUAACGAGUACCUAUAUUUAUAAAAUUACGCCGAGUACAAGGAAGAGCCGAAUUUCAAUUUAUAGAGAAAUUUGAUUAUCUAAUUAUUACUAAUUAUUAUGACGAUCGCGAUGCAACUGUUGCAGUACACACUUUUGCCAUGAAUCGGAAACCCAUGUGCAUUCGAGGAUACUAAAUUCGUGUGCUAAAUCAUUACCGAGUUGUUUUGUAUUUUUUGAUGAGUAUGUUUUAUAAAUUGACUUUGUAUGUUCGUUA